CAGACCUGUGUGGAAGUCUGUUUGUGUGAUGGAGAGCAAAGACGUCUGUUUUCAGAAUGGAAUUUCUCUUUGCUCCUUGCCGGUGUUGGAACAAAGUGGAAUAACUGGGGCAGUUAUUUUGAGAGGCCUUUUAACUAUGGAAAACGUUUUGCACUGAGCUCUGCCUCAGUUUCUCACACAUCUGUAUGCAGUUUUGGGAAAUAUUAUUGUUUUAUGUCCAUAUUCUGUCUAGUGAGAGGGCAUGCCUGCAUAAAAAAAGCUUUUGGAUACAUGGCUCCUCCUCCGUGGUGCUGAGCGUCUCUGUGGCCACAUGAGCGGAGUCUGGGAGCAGCAGCGGCUCUGGGAUUUACUACCGGGACUGAGGGAGCAUCUGGAUUAACACCACACACCAGAUUUCUUAUUUCUCUUUUUGUUUUGUUUUUUAUUAUUCUUUUUUUGAAUUGUUGAAGCUUUUUCUUCUAUUUCUGGGCUGAAGAAACAACCUGCAGUCAUGUCUCGGGGUCCGGAUGAUGUGAGCAAGCUGACAGAAAGUACCUACAAGCCUCAGAUCACGAAGCCCCGCCCACACCUCCGACUGCGGCUCAGUGGGUGAUGCUAGGAGAAGAAGCAGACAUGGCGGGCUCGCUCCAAUCAGACCAACUCGAGAGGGCGGUUAUGGCCGGUGUACGGGCUGCACUUCAGUCCACACCACAAACGGUUUCCACACCACAGAUACCUCUGGCCGGGCCCUCACGUACUUCAAGCUUUGCUGCGACCACCACUUCACUAAGAUCGGUCUGCGAGAACUUUGACCAAAGAAGAAAUCAUAGGAAUAGUAUGGGCACAUAGUGAGAGGGUGGUCACAACAGCCUACAGACCAAUCUACAUGAGCCGAGGGAAUGUGUGGACAACUGCCCUCCGACAGUUUAGCAGGCGUAGAUUCGCUGACAGCACAGACAUGCUGUAUGUCACUUUUGCCAGCGAUGAAGACACCAAUGAGGAUGCAGAAGACCUUGGAGGCCCCAGACGAGAAUUCUUCCAUCUACUUGGAAAAGCUGUCUUUAAAGACAGUGGAGCAUUUGAAGACCAAAGAACUACAGACUCUUCACAACCUGCUCAAACUCUUGGUACAGGACCUCACCACACGGGUCAAGAAGGUUUCCAUCUCAUUUCUACUCUGAAGCUCACCUUCUCCUGCUCAAACUGCUGACAAAUGUUUCUGCUGCUCUAAAGUCUGGUCUCCAGAACUUCCUAAAAACUCUCAAAGUCUCUUCUGCUGCAGGUUGCUUUGUAGAACUGUUCCAGAAAACCUCACUAAACCACAUGGAGGGGCCUCAAGAUAGUCGUACAAAUGAAAC
ensembl:lncRNA